AGCAGCCGCGGUAAUUCCAGCUCCAAUAGCGUAUAUUAAAGUUGUUGCAGUUAAAAAGCUCGUAGUUGAACCUCGGGGUCUACCCAUUGGUCAGGCUUAAUUGUCUGCACUGGUGAGAUGGAUCUCUACCUUCUGAGGAACUUUCAUGCCAUUUAUUUGGUGUGAUGGGAAAUCAGGACUGUUACUUUGAAAAAAUUAGAGUGUUUAAAGCAGACUAUCGUCUGAAUACAUUAGCAUGGAAUAAUGAAAUAGGACGGACUGAUUCUAUUUCGUUGGUUUCUAGGAUCACCGUAAUGAUUAAUAGGGAUAGUUGGGGGCAUUAGUAUUCAAUUGUCAGAGGUGAAAUUCUUGGAUUUAUUGAAGACUAACUACUGCGAAAGCAUUUGCCAAGGAUGUUUUCAUUAAUCAAGAACGAAAGUUAGGGGAUCGAAGACGAUCAGAUACCAUCGUAGUCUUAACCAUAAACUAUGCCGACUAGGGAUCGGACGAAGUUAAUUUUAUAAUGACGCG
rnacentral:rRNA from 1 species